AAUGAUAUAAUGUGUUGAGAUAUUCAACUUAUGUAUGAUUUAAACGCAUGAGAUAUUUGUUAUAUUAUGUACUGAAAAGGGUGCUAUUUAUGCACAAUGAAAAUCCAUAAAGUAUAUGAAAUUGAACGAUAUUGAUUGAUACCAACGCAAUGGUAAUUUGAAAGUUUUUAAUUUAUUGAAAGUAUGAGAUUAUUGAGGAC
rnacentral:lncRNA from 1 species